UGACGAUAAGUUGAAUAAUUAAUACUAUGAAGGAACAAUGUACAAGGACAAUAUGUGGAUUUAAUGCAGAGUUUAAAAAAAUAAUAAUUCCCAAGGUUAACAGUUCUUGUAUUUACAUUUGCCCAGGUACUAGUGUCAUACUAGUACAGAGCAAACUUUGAGAAGAGUACAUGUCACAGGGUGAAUUGGUAGUGAGUUGGGCCCAGCUGUUGCCCAUACCAGUGAUUGGCAUUGGCAGUGAUUGAGACACAGCUGUUUCCCAUUUCAUUGAUUGGUAGAGCAUGGUGGGGAUAGGUUGAAUCCUCUUUUAAAAGGCCCUGUGUUUGGUGUACGGGAGGUUGGAGGAUUGAGGUGCAGGUUGGCACUCUGUAUGUCUGCAUCGGUGCUGGUUUUAGGUGUCCUGCCUGUGUGCCUGCUGGUUUCACGGGAGAGAGCGGUGGCUGUGUUCCCGGUUCGUGAUUGGGACGAGGAGGCAGUGACAGUUGGGCAGAUCGGAGACGACGGGGCUAUACACCGUGCAACUGGAGCUAGGCUCCAAACAGCUUCUCUGCUGUGCCGUUCACCGGAUCUACUGCCGGAUUCCUUCUUCCCUGGUCGCUGACGCGGAACAGUGGGUGACGUCACCAGGACCGGGUGCGGGUCGGGCUAGGUUCCAGAGUGGCGUCUUGGAAAUAGUUUGCAGUGCCCAAGUAUUUUGGAGUGCAGUGAGUGCCUUCACUUUUCCCUCACAGUGCCCUAGGUAGACUGUCUGCAUUGCCGGAUUGUUUGUUUGUAAAUGUUUACCACGUGUGUUGUGUGACUUGUUCUGCUCGGGUCCCAAACUUAUGCCCACCCCCAUUGACGGAGGGAGGUUCUUGCCCCAUUAGAGCUGGGUAGGGUGUGGGAGACCUUAUUCAUGUAGCUCGGUGUGGGCAAUUGAUAAAGAUAUUUAUUUUAAA